UCGAAUCCCGCAACGAGCAGACCGCGCACACGUAAUUUGCUGCACGGGGCAUCCGAUGGGAAGGUGCGUGCGCGCCUCCCUCCCGUUGGUUGCCCCGCACCCGCCCGGGCCCUCGCGCGAGCGAGUGCAACAGGCGGAGCCACAACAAACCCACGGCGUAAAAGGCGCCAAGGAUCACAAACGCGGAACGCCACCCGCGUCGUGCACCCGUUCGUGGUGUGCCGUUCGUGGGAUGUGCGUCUCCCUAGAUUGAAUACGGAAGAAAU
rnacentral:misc_RNA from 1 species